AGGUUCUUUCUGAGACAUGUUUUCAUGGUGUGGGAAUAAGACUUGGUGGUCUUAUACAGCUAAUACAAAGGUUAGCAUCACAGCUUGUCUGUAAGGAUUGAAGCUGGGAGUGGGCAUUGGAGCUGACUUUUAUGAUAACUGUGGCUGCAUAAAAUGGUUGUGUGAUAUAACUGCAACAGUAAAGAAUGUAAUUCAGACUAUUUUUGUGUAUGCUUGAGAAAAUGUUUAUAAUUUUUUUACAAAAAAAAAAAAAAAAAUAUGUAAAGAUUCUCCAUUUUCAACAAGAUUGGAAGUUGUAGGUAAACUUGUAUUUGACAUUACAAAAAUUCUUUCUAUUUUCCGUUUAUACUCAUGUCUAGUCAAAACACUUCCAGCAGUUUAAGAAUGGAUAGUCUAAGAGAAAAAGAAAGAAAAAAGAAAAAAAAAUGUUCAAUUAUUGAAAUGUAUUUUUUUUUUGCAAAUUGUAAUGUAUAUAUUUUUGCCAUCUUUUUGUUAUUUUAGGAUUUGAGAUACUUUCAAAUUUUACAAGUUACUUUAUACAUGUAGUUAAUGCAAUUAAAUCUGCCGAUGUGAAUAUUCCCACUAAAUUUCUUAGCAAAAAUUUUAAUUAUUUUUGUUUUUUUUAGCAAUGUUUCAAAAUACCUUACCAUAGCAAAUGCCUCUCUAGUGUAAACUAAAAAGAUGAAUAAUGGUCUGCAGUAAAUAUAUCCCCUUACAACCUUUUCUUUCAUGUUAAUUUUAAUAUCUUUAAGAUAUGUGACAAGGGUGCUCUAAUGCAGAGGAAUUUACGAAGUUAAGAAGUUAGAAAUAUAUUUUUUGCACUUUUUUUGUCAUUUUUAGCUGACUUUGGUGUGUAACCAAGGUGAUAUUUUUUAAAGAAUAAUUUUACAAAAGGCAUAGUUGAAGAACAUCUUGUUGAAAUUGGAUUGGUUGAUUUUUGGUAUCAAACACCACUUUAACAUGAUUUACUAUAAUUUUGGUUGUAAAUUUUUAUUUGUGGAGACAGCCAGAGUGCCUGGUGAAAACAUCACCUUCAUCAGGGAAACGGGCAAACCCUAGUCAAAUUAAGAAUGAAGUUACACAUUUCAAGUGAGGGUUGUCAGUGUUGACAGGCUAGUGCUACUUAUAGGACCACUCUGCCACCAUAAGUCAAUCAGUACGAAAUAUUUUAUUGAAAUGUGUUAGAUUUUUGUUAUCAAUCUAUUUUUUAAUUUUAAUUGUACCAUUUUAUUUAUUUUGUUUAAUAUAACAAGGAUGUGGAGUCCGAACAGGGUGAAAUUUGGGUCAAAGGGAGGCAAUUUAUUAUACCCCUGUUUAACUCCACAUACUUGAAAUUCCCUCAAUGUUAGGAUUUUCAUCUACUUGGAUAUUCAUGUUUGUACAUUUUUUUUUAAUAUCAGAUGUAUACUAGCUAAUAUUGACUAUUACUUAGAGCUCUGUAAUAAAAAAAAAUAAAUGUAAGCAGAGCUCUAGAUAAUAAGUAUGCAGGGUGGGAGAAAUCUUGGGUCAUUAACAAUUGAUUUUCUGAAAUUUUCAAGAAAGGGGAUUUAUUAGAAAUGCAUCUGAUAUAUUUAAUGUAAAAAACUAUAUUUAAAAAAAAAAGAUGUUAAGAUGAUGAGGAGAGCCACCUUGUCAGCCGGGAGAGCAGCUCUAAGGGAGAUGGUCAAUUUAAUCUUCACCAAGUCUGAGGCUUAACCAUGAAAAAUAUGUGGUUGUUAUAAUGAUGAUGUUUUCAUGGUGUUGGGAGUAAGACUUGGAUGUCUGAUAUUGUUAACAUGUUGGUUAGCAUCAGGUUUCCAUUGGGUUACUUGUUGGGAUAAAGCUGUUAUAAGUCGAAAGAGUUGUUGUUGCUUCCUUCCUUGUAUGGUAAAAUCCUCAGACUACAAUCCUGCAAACCAUUGGAUGAACUGUUGCUAUUUUUUGUAAAAAAAUCAGCAGAUAUUAAUGUCUUGUAAGCAGAAUGAAUUAUAAAUGCAAUUAAUUUUUAAUGCUUUAUUAUUCAAAUUAUAAAUAUUUAUUUCAUUAUUUUUCUUGCAUUCAAUUAUUGUUUUGUGAUUGAAGAAAUAUAAAAAAAAAAACUGUGAAAUUAUUGUUAUUUGAGAGGUUCCAGAGGUAUGAUGUAUGGUUUCAAAAGAUACCCAUAAGACUUGCUUCAGUUUACAUAUAUUUUUUAAGUUAUGUACACUGGUUAAGAAUUAUAAGUCCUUUGUGAAAUGAUUUUUUCUGGUUAGAAACCUAUUAAGUAGGACUAUGAUGGCCAAACACUAAAAGGGAAUAAAACAAAUCCCCUAUUAAACAAUUUAAGUACUGAGUUUUUGGUGCAAUAUGAACUAGAAAUAAAAAUGUUUAGUUAGAUGGUUUGUUUUGACUCUGCAUUCUUUACAUUCAUACAAAUUAAUGGCUGUCAGUUUUAUUUAUUGGUUUUGUUUAUAUAUUAUAUUAAAUGCAUUAUUCAGCAUCUGAGGCCACUCAAGUGAAAAUAAUUACAUAGUUUUUGCAAUUUGUCAUAUUUUCUCAUUUUUGUGUGAUUGAUUUCUAUAUUUUUUCUCAUUUAUGAUUAUUUAUAUUUUAAUGUUUGAUUUUUGAGGCUUGUACUCAGCUUCUAAACAAUUACCUCCCCCCUCCACAUGUAUAACCAGGAUCUGUAAAAGAAGUUUUGAUUUUGAAGGAUGGAUGGAUAAUUAAAAAUGCAAGAUUUUUUUAAUGUGCUAGUUCAUAAUGUAAAAGUCUGCACAAGACAUCUAACCCUACCUGAACAAAUUAUUCUGACUUCCAGCUGACCAGUCUUUGCUCCUACUCCUAAUUGCUGAAUGCUUAGCAGGGGAGCAUCAAAUGCCAAUUUUCAAUUCUUUGAUAUGACCCAGGGCAGGACCAAAUCCCAUGCCCAUCUGCACUCAUGUUGAGCAUAAAAAGGUUAUUAAAGAAGAUUUGUCUGUUUGUCCAUCAUCAUCUCUCAUCCACAGCUUAUAAACUAUUGGAAGGUUUUCAUUUAAACUUUCAGAUUAUCUUCUGUAUCUAAUGGCUGUGUGUAUUUUAUUUUAUUAUAAUGAAAUUUUGGGGUUCUCAAUUGUAAUGAAUGGACCUCCUAAGAAUUUGAAAAAAAAAGGGAAAGAAGCUUCUCAUACCACCAUUUCAUCAUGUGAAGAAUAGGUUGGUUCAAAUAUAUUUGUUUUUAAUCAUGUUUUUAGUAGUUGGAUCUCAUUAUGACAAAAUUUUAAUGACUUAAAUAAAUUUGGGGUUCACACUGAUAUAUAUUACCACUGUAGCUUUAAUGUAAAUUUUAUAAGGCUUUGCUAUAACAAGAUUUGUGUUUUAUCUGGUUUUAUCUGAUUUUAGUGGUUUUUAUGUGAUUUUAUUUGUUUUUACUGUCAAAUCUUGUUAUACCAAGCCUAAGUAUGAUUGAGUUUAUAUAUUUUGAUUAUACAUGCUAUUCAAAAUAUAAAUUUACAUAAUGAGAUCAGACAUUUAUUAUGCUUUUAACUUUUUUUGUGGAUAAAAUAGAAAAAUGAAUGAACAUAAAUAUUGAAGUGAUCGUUGAAGAUUGACCAAAUUACAAGAUUUAGAAAUGCAGAAUCUUGCUCUAACUAAAUCUAUGUUCUUAUCAGCUGAACCAACCUAUCCUUCAAUAUGAGUAAUAAAAUUUUAUAAAUGGAAGAGUCCAUUCUUCGAUUGGAGAACCUUUGGAUGUGAAAAAAAUAUACACAAUGCCAACAGAUACUGAAGAUUAUUUGAAAGUUUAGGCAAAAACAAUUCAAUCCUUUUAAUUGUGAUUGGAAGUUGUAGACGGAUGAGCAAACAGAUGAUAUACUUGCUGACUAUGGCACAUUUCCUAAAGGAUAUGGACUAUGGGUAUGGGUUUUGCUCAUGGUUGAAGGCUGUAGGUGACUGAUAGUUGUUAAAUUCUAUGUCAUUUGGUCUCUGGUGGAGAGUUGUCUCGUUGCCAAUCAUAUCUCUUUUUAUUUUAUAUGAAAUAAUUAUUUAUUACUUCCUGGGCAAAAAGUUCUGGUUCAAAGAAAAUAUUAAAAAAAAAAUAUUUAUAUCAUACAUGUAUUAUUAAAUAACUAUCCUACUUUGAUAUAAAGAAUUGACUUUGGUUAGAAAUUGGGAGGAAUUAUAAAGAAACUUUAUAUACAAUAUAAGAGCUUGGGGUUAUAAAUGUUUAAUGAAAUGCAGUUAACUAUUUCCUUGGUGAUCUAAUAAUUUUUGCACAGAUCACGAUAUUAGUUUAUUUAAAUAACCCAGUAAAUAAUUGAGUACACCUCAUAAAUGAAUUUGAUUCAUGUAUUUUUAUGCAUUUUUUAUCUUAGUAUUUACCAUUGUAUUCCUUGUUAUAUUUGUAAAUGCCUCUUCGUAUGUGACAAACUGAGGAUUCAUAUAUUUUAUGGAAUUAUAUAAAUUUAUUUCAAGUUUGGCAUUUAAAAGUAUUGGAAAGCACCAAGUUUAAUAGUGAGCAAAAAAAAUAUUCCUUUAAGACCUAAGGAUAUUAAGAUCUAAGACAUGUAUCUCAGAACAGAAUUGAUUUUCUAAAUUCUAUUUAAACAGCUAGUCUGGGAACUGGUAUCAAGAAACUAAAAAGAAUCCUCAGUGCUGUCAGUUAUUUUGUAUAAUUGUAAUAUUUAACCAAUGAUACCUUACCCAUGAUGCAGAUCCUUUUCCUCCUUUUACUUAUAAAGGGACUAAAAACUUAUUAUUAUUACAAUUUCUUUGGUAUUUGUACACACUUGAUGGAGCAGAAUGGGUCUGGUUUCAUUUGGGUAUUUUAUAUUAUGAUGCAUGAUAAUGAUAUAAAUAAAUAUGUAAAUAAAAAUUUAAUUGAGAAAACCUAUCUUAUAUUUUAUUUGAGUCUGAAUGACAAAUAAAGGGGGAAGAGGUUUCUGUGGUCAAGGGUAACACACAGCUGAUUUAUUGUAUGGUAUGGACGAAGUUGAAAAAGCGAGACUUGGGCAUGCUUUUUCCAUAAGCAGCAGCUUCAACAAUGUAUUUGAUUGUGAUAAGUUCAAGUUAAAGAAAACAACUAGUGGUAGGUCAAUGAUAUUUGGUAUGCAGUUAUAUAAGCAUUGAAACAUCUUAUUUCUAAGGAGAUUAUUUUGCUUCUCUCCCUCAGUCAUAGUCGACUUAAAACUUUUAAUUAGUUUACAUGUAUAAGUUUGUGAU